CGACAAUUCAUCAUCCAUAUCAUAACUAGGAAGGCAGCAUGGAUAUAGCCAGCCGUAUGCAGAUUGCAGCAGUUUCCAAUGCACUCACUUGUACUCCAGUGAUCACAACCAGUCCAUGCUGAGCUGCCUCGUCACAAAGGCCCUGGUGCUGACUUCUGUUCUGAACCUCACCCAGGACUCUUCUCCACCGGGUAGGAAAAUCGAGUCCCUGAGGACUUUGGCAAAGGUCAGGGGCAGCCACGACACAGCUCUGUGGCCAACCCAAGUGGACACCAAGGCCCUGGGGGUGACAAGGGGACAUGGAUGAGAACCCCCCCGCCUUCGGAGGCCAUUCUCGAGGUCCCAGGAGAGGCCCCAUGACAAUGAGACAGCGGGCAGCUGGUGCGGGGGGCCUGGACGCCCGGGGAACUCCCCACUGGCUCCUGCUGGCCCAAGAGCGGAGGCCCUGAGCCAGUCACUGGCCCAGCAUCCGGUGUCACUUACAAACACAGGACGGCUGCCACCUUCUGCAGGAGAACUGGCCCUCCCGCGCCAGUCCCCAGGCCACACCAGGCACUGUGGGGGGUGCCUGGCCCAGGGCUGGCACGGAGGGGCUCAGGCUGAGUGGGAGACGGGGCAGAACAGGCAGGCAUGGGGGGAGACCUGGGGAUCCCAAACAAAGGCAGAGCCUGGGAAGCACCCACUCGACCUACCUCCCAUUAUCUGGACCCAGGUUUCUACAAAACAUGAGAGCUCUCUGCAAAGAAGAAAAGAAAAAUGGACGGAACUCGAACUUAAAUCCAACCUUGUGGUUACAAUUACGGAGGCCCACCCAGGCCAGCACUGUGCGGGCCCCUUCAGGCUUCUCUCAGGCUCUCCCGAGACACACCGGCAGGCUGCAGUGCUACCACUGUGGUAAAGGACAAGGAAACUGAGGCUCUGUGGGAUUCCGGGACUUGCCCAAGGUCACACCAUCCUUGAGGGGUCGAGCCAGGACUGGAACCUCAGUCCGGCCACUACAACUUCAUAAAUACCAUCGCCCUGAGAUGCUGAAAUCCCAGGGGCCCCCCACCCUCAGACCAGGUGCCGGUAUUGUCAGCAUCGAGAAAACAAAGUGCCAGUGAAUUAUCAA
rnacentral:lncRNA from 1 species